rnacentral:lncRNA from 1 species
GAAUAUUAUCAGUCAUUAACAGCCACAUUUGAAGGGAAAUGAACUCCAUCUACAGCUUCAAGGAUAAAAAGCUUAGCCAAAGCAUGGGCAAGAACCACUGCCCUGUCUUUUAAUAAAUUCGAAAGAGCACAACUGAAAAUUUAAAAAAAUAGCAAAGCAUUCAUCAAUAGAGGCACCGAAAGAUGUAACAGAUGGGCUUCUCUCGCGAAGAGCUUGGAUAACCUGAAUACUAUAUCUCCCUCUAAAAUGAUCGACGACGACUGGUUUAUUCGUGGGAGGUUAAUCGCUUGAGGUUAAUUAAUAUUGUUGUUUUCACUUUCAAAGAGUAACAAUAAUUGAAUGAGUUUUGUAUUAGCUCACAACUCGUAUUACAGUAUAUGAUAUGCUAUUAAAAUGAUUUAUUUUGCGAUUAUGAGUGCAACUUGAGUUUUUGUGUUGCCACUUCAUGAUCAUAAUAUAGAUCCAUAAAUUAGAGAAUAUUUCCUCUUACAUAUAUUCAGAAGUCUAUAUCAUAUGUCACUUUUACUUGUGUGUUUAAGAUAUAUCCACC